CACAUUUCUAUUUACAAUGAUGGCCUACCCCGGCCAAACCCUAACCCGGACGACGAUGGGCUAAUUGUGCGCCGCCCUACUCCCAAUCAUGGCCGGUUGUGAUACAGCCUAGAAUCGAACCAGGGUCUGUAGUGACACCUUUAGCACUGAGAUACAGUGCAGCUGCACCAUUCAGGAGCCCAACGACAGAGAGAUGAGAUGAAACUAACUCCAAGUGCAGUCUGCCCUUCCCCAUCACUGACCCACAAUACACUGGGGGAGAAGGGCUAAGCCCAGAAGCAGUGGGCACUUUGCCACAAGGUCAACCCUAACACACACACACAUAUGUGGUUACUAGUCAGGAGGAAAGAAGGUUACCCUGCUCUCUCUGUUGUGUUCCAGGGGUGUCUCAGUAACUACUAACACCUCUCUGUUGUGUUCCAGGGGAGUCUCGGUAACUACUAACACCUCUCUGUUGUGUUCCAGGGGAGUCUCAGUAACUACUAACACCUCUCUGUUGUGUUCCAGGGGACUAACACCUCUCUGUUGUGUUCCAGGGAAGUCUCAGUAACUACUAACACCUCUCUGUUGUGUUCCAGGGGAGUCUCAGUCAGGACUAUCACCCUGCUCUGGGGAUAUAGCAGUAGGAAGUAGUAUGAUGGAGGAGAGGACACCCACACAGACAGUGAGACAGAUGGACUCAGUCAGGCAGCUUAAUCCGAACUAACGCCUCUCAAUCUGUCCCCCCAUAUAAACAGACAGUCUCAACCCUGGCUGUACCCAUAUGAUAACAUGUCCCAGUCCCGUAUCUGAGUACACGACGACAUGUCCCAGUCCCGUAUCUGACUAGACGACAUGUCCCAGUCCCGUAUCUGACUAGACGAUAACAUGUCCCAGUCAUACACUACCAUUCAAAAGUUUGGAGACACUCUGAAAUUCCCUUGUUUUUUAAAAGAAAAACACUAUUUUGUCCAUUAAAAUAACAUCAAAUUGAUCAGAAAUACAGUGUAGACAUUGUUCAUGUUGUAAAAAACUAUUGUAGCUGGAAACGGCAGAUUUUUAAUGGAAUAUCUACAAAGGUGUACAGAGGCCCAUUAUCAGCAACCAUCACUCCUGUGUUCCAACGGCAUGUUGUGUUAGCUAAUCCAAGUUUAUCAUUUUAAAAAGGCUAAUUGAUCAUUAGAAACCCCAUUUGCAAUUAUGUUAGCAGAGCUGAAAACUGCUGCGCUGAUUUAAAGAAGCAAUAAAACUGGCCUAAUUUAGACUAGUUGAGUAUCUGGAGCCUCAGCAUUUGUGGGUUCGAUUACAGGCUCAAGACGGGCAGAAACAAAGAACUUUAUGAAACUCAUCAGUCUAUUCUUGUUC
rnacentral:lncRNA from 1 species